GACGAACGCUGGCGGCGUGCUUAACACAUGCAAGUCGAGCGGUAAGGCCCUUUCGGGGGUACACGAGCGGCGAACGGGUGAGUAACACGUGGGUGACCUGCCCUCAGCUCUGGGAUAAGCCUGGGAAACCGGGUCUAAUACCGGAUAUGACUCCAUGACGCAUGUUGUGGGGUGAAAGCCUUGUGCGGCUGAGGAUGGGCCCGCGGCCUAUCAGCUUGUUGGUGGGGUGAUGGCCUACCAAGGCGACGACGGGUAGCCGGCCUGAGAGGGCGACCGGCCACACUGGGACUGAGACACGGCCCAGACUCCUACGGGAGGCAGCAGUGGGGAAUCUUGCGCAAUGGGCGAAAGCCUGACGCAGCGACGCCGCGUGAGGGAUGACGGCCUGGUGUAA
rnacentral:rRNA from 1 species